GUGUGUGAAGCGCUCUCUGGGGCUUCUCUGUAUUUUUUGGGUUUUUCUUUUUUUGUUGCUGUGUGUUGGCGCGCUGUGUGUUGGCGCGCUGUGUGUUGGCGCGCUGUGUGUUGGCGCGCUGUGUGUUGGCGCGCUGUGUGUUGGCGCGCUGUGUGUUGGCGCGCUGUGGUGUUGGCGCGUGUUGUUUUUUUUUUUGGGUGUGUCUGUGUGUUUAGAUUUUUGUUCUGCUGUUUUGUUUCCCUUUUUUUUCUUUGCAUCCUUUGUUUUGCUGUUUCUUCUAGUUGGUGUGGGUUUUGUGAAUUGCCUUUUUUUUUUUUCUUUUGAUUUUUUGGGUUUUUUUCCCUCCAGUUUGAUUUUAAUUUUGUAUGUAUUUUUUUUCAUUUUUUUCCUUUUUUUUUUUUGUGCAUGUGUGUUUUUGUGUAUUGUGCUUUUGUUUUUGCUUUUUGUGUUUUAUGGCUACAUUAUUGUUUUGCUGUUUCGUUUGGUUUUUUCUUCUCUUUUUUUUUUGCAUUUCUCGUGUUUCUCUUUCUCCUAAUAUGUGUGAUUUUUGUGUAUUUUUCUUUGUUGUUUGGUUUUGCA
ensembl:lncRNA